UCUGGGAGUUUAGACAUAACCUGGCUUCCUGCUCGCCACCCUCAGCGUGGACCUGUUCACGCAGUAAAUCUGGGAAGAGUCUAAGAAGCAGGUAUUUUCAGAAAUCAUCCCCCAAGCCUCCUGUACCCACCCAUCAGACUGAGAGCCACAGCCACCAACAUUCUGAGAUGCCUAUGUGCUAAGCUCUGUUUGCUGACAGGGCAAUCAGUGGGUCUUCCUCCAGUGGAUAGUCCUUUUUCUGUUUGGGUCACAGCUGUGUCUCUUCUUCCACUCUACAAAUUCAGGGAAUUCUACUUCAGGUUUACGAACACUUGCCAUUUGUGGCUGCCUCCCUUUUGAACUUACAACCUCUAACUUUUCUAUUAGAUCAAUCUUGGAACACCCUUCAACUCCAGAAGCAGAAGCAGACUGUCAGUCAGCCGUUCAUGCCCCCUGCUCUUCGCCCUGUGAGUCUGCGUGUGGGCAUACAUGCUUGUGAACAAAACCUCUAGAUCAAAGACUGUUUGGUCCACGCUAAGCUCCACACUCCUACACAGACUUUGGCCUGCACAUAAGAGGCCUCAGGACAGAGGGUGGAUCAGGAGGCGAAGGCAGUGGUGGUAGCCCAGCCACUGGCGCUGUGGCCAGCAGCCCUGACAAUGUGCGGCAGCCUCCGUGAUGAGGAGAGUCCCCUGUUCUGGCCCCUGCCAAGUUUGCGUGAAAAUGUCCUUGAUAAGGUUGGGGGAAAGUGGCUUGUGAGGCAUUAAGAUGUUCUCCAAUUAUGCUAAAAGGUAGACAAUCUUAGGAAUAUUUGAUAAGGUUCAGCAAAGAGACAAAGACUCGGCUAGCAUACUAACACGGCAGCACCGCGGCCGCGGAUGUUCAGCCCCUUAUUGCAGAAGGGAUUGCUUCUUGAAGACGCCUGACCUCAAGCUCCCAGACGCAACACUACUGCUUUGACCGUCUCCUUGCAGAGCUGGGAAGCCAUCUCCAAGUCCUACUCCCUGUGCUGCAGGAAAGGAUAGCUCUGCUUAGCCCGGAUCUCACUCUGGAGAGCAGACUGGCCUCCACCAUCUUUCCUUUGUGUUUAAAUGACGAUUGAACAGGAACAUACAGCCAAGACACGAUUUCUUUAAAGAAUUGUAUUGGUUCCCAAGACUUUGAAGGACCCCAGAGCUACCUAGCAUCUUUCUUGGACAGAGUUGGGAAUCAGAGAAUCAAAUGAUCCACUGAACAUCACCCAGCUUAUCCAAGACUGCAAGUGGUGGCAAGGAAGUUAACCCCAAGAAGCAGCUACUGUCAAUCAGAUCUACACUAAAUGCUUUACCUUCUUUCAUCCUAGCCACAACGCAAUCCUAUGGUGUGAAUAGUAUUUAUUCUCUGUUUUGAGAGGGCAGGGAAAGCAUGGGGGAUUAAGUACUGUCUGCUAUUUACUAGUCAAUGAUUUCGAAAACCAGCAGAGAUGACUUCCAAACAUAGGGGAGCGUAACUCAGAAGCAAACACACACGGAGCCAGCUGCCAGACCGUAUUCUGACAGAUGCUGGCAGACCCUGAUCUACCAGGACAGCAUUCACAUGCAGAAGAAAAUGGAAAUUAGAGUAAGGUAUUAUGUUUUAAACUUUUAUAGCUCUUCAUGGUUAUUGAAUUCUAACCAAUAUUCUAGAGAAUAUUACAGAGGAAAAAAUGAGCCUUGUAAUAUGGUCUAAACCUACUUAAUAGUUGUGUGUAUUAAAAUAGCAUCUAGAAAAGAUAUAACUGGGUCCCUUCGAAGCACAUCUUUUUUUUCCCCUCAAAGCUUUAAAAGACUGUUAGAAACAAGAGCAUGUUUCUUUUUAUUAUUCUUAAAGUAUUAAAGAAAAACACCCUGACUUUA